UACGUAGGGUGCAAGCGUUGUCCGGAAUUAUUGGGCGUAAAGCGUGCGCAGGCGGUUCGUUGUGUCUGAUGUGAAAGCCCCGGGCUCAACCUGGGAACGGCAUUGGAAACUGGCGAGCUAGAGUGUGGCAGAGGGGGGUGGAAUUCCGCGUGUAGCAGUGAAAUGCGUAGAGAUGCGGAGGAACACCGAUGGCGAAGGCAGCCCCCCUGGGCUGACACUGACGCUCAGGCACGAAAGCGUGGGGAGCAAACAGG
rnacentral:rRNA from 1 species